UACGGAGGGUGCAAGCGUUAUCCGGAUUUACUGGGUUUAAAGGGUGUGUAGGCGGACUUUUAAGUCAGCGGUGAAAUCUCCGGGCUCAACCCGGAAACUGCCAUUGAUACUAUUGGUCUUGAAUGUUGUUGAGGUGGGCGGAACGGGUCAUGUAGCGGUGAAAUGCAUAGAUAUGGCCCGGAACACCGAUUGCGAAGGCAGCCCACUAAGCAAUGAUUGACGCUGAGGCACGAAAGCGUGGGGAUCAAACAGG
rnacentral:rRNA from 1 species